GACGAACGCUGGCGGCGUGCCUAAUACAUGCAAGUAGAACGCACAGUUUAUACCGUAGCUUGCUACACCAUAGACUGUGAGUUGCGAACGGGUGAGUAACGCGUAGCUAACCUGCCUGGUAGCGGGGGAUAACUAUUGGAAACGAUAGCUAAUACCGCAUAAUAUUGAUUAUUGCAUGAUAAUUAAUUGAAAGGUGCAAUUGCACCACUACCAGAUGGACCUGCGUUGUAUUAGCUAGUAGGUGAGGUAACGGCUCACCUAGGUGACGAUACAUAGCCGACCUGAGAGGGUGAUCGGCCACACUGGGACUGAGACACGGCCCAGACUCAUACGGGAGGCAGCAGGAGGGAAUCGGCGGCAAUGGAUGAAAGUCUGACCGAGCAACGCCGCGUGAGUGAAGAAGGUUGUCGGAUCGUAAAGGUCUGUUGUAAGAGAAGAACGGGUGUGAGAGUGGAAAGUUCACACUGUGACGGUAUCUUAAGAGAAAGGGGCGGCUAACUACGUG
rnacentral:rRNA from 1 species